CGCUGCCCCGGCUUCCCUGAAGCGAGGAGACCCGCAGCUGGCUGGGUGAUCAGUCGGCAUCCCAAAUUGCCUCCCCGUGGCGUUCCACUCUGGUCUCUCCCGGGGGAGAAAUGGACCGUGUCGCAGCCCGCUGCUCCCGGAAUGGCAAGCAUCCGAGACGCUGCCCCACUCAGCGGUCCCCAGGACUCAGGGGACUGCAGGAGAGGCGAAGCUCCCUCCUGGAGCUCACCUUGUUAGAGUGGAGGGGAGGGCAGGGGUGGAGGGAAACAGCCCCUGCCCAGGCUGAGCGUGCAGCUUGGCUUAUUGUUCCCAGAUGGGGACUGUCAGCCCCUGUCAGCUUCAGAUAUGCGCUGAGAGCUCUACUUCCGCAUUCCUGGAAUGCGUGGCGGCCCAGAGUUCACCUUCUGCACCCGGAUUCAAUAACAUGUCAAAUCCCUUCAGUCUCACCCGGAGCUGAAACUCUCUCAACUCGCUCGCUGCCUCUGCACACAUGCCUUGCGCCUGUCCAAAUAUUGAAGCUGGGUUGAGUGCAGCCACGGAGUCUGGGCCAACUAGGCUCCACCUGCCAAGAACCAGCUCCACGGUAGCUCCCAGGCUUGCAUGGAAGUGGCCUUCUCACUCAGCGAGGCUUUACAGAGUUGAAACUCUACUACCCUUCAGAGUGGCCUCCGAAGUUAGGAAUUCCUGGUUAACAUCUGCCCUGUGACCUCACCCUGUCGCAACGACUCCAUUAAACUGAGUCACUCAGUCCUGCGGACUCCCUGCAGAUGAUAAGGACUGGCACGGAAAACAGCAGCUCAGGCUCUGGGCCGACUGUGGGCUGUGGGUUUGAGCAAAUGGGUGCUUUGCAAUUGACCUCAAUGUUUAUCCUCGUUCUCAAAAGAUGGAGAUUGUAUGCUGGCAAUUUUCCGAGAAUCCAUUAGCCAGCUCCUGAGUCUGUGAUGGUAUUUCUUACGAGACCAUUUGCUAAGGGAGGAGUUUGAAGAUAAAGUAAGAGGUUCAAGAGACAUCAGGAGAAGGAGCUGGAGCAGGAAAUCUACAAAGUGUAAGUAUCUCUGGGAUGUAUGCUAGAAGGAAGCCAAAUUAACUGAGAGGGUAAUAACUGCUCAGUUAUUGUGUUGUGAAGCUUAUUAUUAAAAAAAUAGAAAAGAGUCUCAAUUAUUUGUGUGAUAACCAGGUUGAGAGAGAAACUGAGAAACAAAUACAGUUUUAUAAAAAAAAUAGCUUUGACAUAUGUGUGGGAGGGGAAGAUUGAGAGAUGUAAAGGAAUUGGCUCACACAAAUACAGAGGCUAGACAUUCCCAAUCUGCAGGAUGGUUAGCAAGCUGGAGGAACAGGAGUUUUAAGGCCAUCAAAUAGAGAAUUCUCUCAUGUUUGACACAUGCCAGUCUUCUUUAUGCAGGCUUUCCAGUGAUUGGUGGGGUCCACAUUAGGGAGCACCAAGGACUUUAUCAAAGGCUUCCUGACUAAUGUCAUCCCAGAGCAACCUCACAGAACCUUCCAGAAUGACACCUACCCACAUUAAUUAUCAAGGCACUGUCAUUGUGGCUAAUCUGACUGUGUUUCCACCUUUGCUUCUGGAGGAACUGUGCAACAUCACAAGCUGCUUGAGUGUCCCCUAUGGGGGAGUGGUAACUAGGGGAGAUGGUUGGUGUUCUACUCAUUGAGGUGAAUGGAAGAAAUAGAGGAAGGUGAAUCCCUGUGAGUUCCAGGCCAGCCAGGGAUACACAGAGAUUAGAUAGAUAGAUAGAUAGAUAGAUAGAUAGAUAGAUAGAUAGUUACUAAUAAAAAUGCAAACAUCAAGGCACAUGUCACCUGCCUACUUCCUCCAGUGACAGCUGCUAAGCCCUCUCCUUGGCACCUGGAGACCACACAAAGCCACCAGAGUUUGGUAGGGGACAGCAGCAUCACUACUGUUAUAGCUAAAGACCAGCAAAUUCGUCCCCUGAGAUGGAGGAUGAGUAGCCAAAGUUUGACAAGACCCACCAAUCACAUAUUUGUAGCAGGAAGAAUUAGGAUGUAGUUCCUGGGAAAUUUUAGAAUAGUGAGGAACUCAAAUACAGAGCUGCUGUGCUGCCUAGGAAUAUUUCUAUGAGUAAUUUUAAAAUGUAACCUCCCCUUACCCAUCUCCAGCCUUUGAUGGUUGCUGGUGUGUAUGUCCUUGCUGCUGUUGCUUUCACUCAUGUCCUUCACUCAUGUCAUAAUCUAGCCUGCUCUGCCUUCCAACAUGAACUGAAGUCCAGGAGUCCUCUAGGGCUUCAGGCACAGAGUGAGACUGGCUGAGAUACCCAGCUUCAUGAACUAAGAAGCAGCCAGUGUGCAGACAGCCAUUGUUGCACUAGGGCAUGACAUACAAGCCAAUCCAACAUUAACACACACACAUAUCACAGUCUCCAAGGGUGAUGACACACGCCCUGAAUCCCAGAGUUCAAGAAGCAGAAGCAGGUGGAUCUCUACUGAGUUU